CCUAGAUUCUGUCAAUGGAGAUCAGCUGUCACACCAGUCAAAGAGCCUCCGAGUAGCCUGGAGUCCAGAUCUUGGUUUCUAGUGCCGUUCUCAAGUACGUGGAAAUGGGUUGGGGCUCCUUGGAUAAAUUUUGCUUGAAGAACAGGGCAGGAAAGACAGAGGAUAAGGCCUGGGUAUCUUGCAAUACCACAGAAGAAGUCGAGACAAAGCAAAGCAAACCAAAGCAAACCAAACCAAACAUGGAGUUUUGGCCAUUGGAUCUGUGGCACAACUUAAAAUUCUCUCAGUGCCCAACCUGAGUUCAUACACAAAGACUAAACCCCCAUGAUGAAGAAACUUAGGCGUGUUCUUUAUCCUCAAAGAGAGAAGCAUGACCCUGUCUUUCUCAUUAAGCUGUGAACAGCAAAUUCCUAAGAACACAGGGUUAAGUGGGACAAUAAAAGGAGCAGCUUCCGGUGGAGACACCUGGUAGAAGCCUCGGGUCAGGUGAACAAGGACAACAGCAAAGGAAAAUUAAAGUGACAUCAUAAGAUGGCAACCACAGCACCCUGCAGAGGACUCUGGAGAGAUGGCAUCCAUGGUACCCUGAAGGGAACUCUGGAGCGAAGACCACUGAAUUCUGAGGAAAUCCAAAUAAAGUCAGGAGUCCUUACUGACCACAUCACACAGGUGUUGCUUUUUAAAUCAUGACAGGUUUAUUGUGCUCAUAUACUAUUGUUGGCAACCAAGGAAGCUGAGUGUGGGCUCACUGCUCAUCUAUGGGAUGUUUUGAGCAUAAUUCUAGAACUUUUGUAAAUAGAAGCACAGUUUUCAGAUCUGUGCUUUUGCAGUGGACUGUGAGAAUUUUACCCACUCUGACCGUGCUGCUUUGGAGUCUGGACAUGGGGCCUUCAAACGUUCCUCCAGGAUCCUCCAUAUGCAUUGAGGCAUCAUGAGGAUGCUGACCAACUCUGACGGUGCCGUAGAGUCCUACUAGAGUCACUGGUAGCAUCAUGGCUGGUAAUAGCAAGAUGAACUCCAGGAUAGCAGCACCUGGAGACUUGCUAAAAAAUGCAAUCUUUGGCUCAAUCCUGGAUCACAAAUUGAGCUAAGGUUCACGCCUGCAUCGAGUAUCCUAUUAUUGAGCAAUUCUGGUGCCUGCUCCUUUAAGAACUUUUGGUCUAGAAAAUAGUUGAACAACUGGAUCGCCUGAGAAGGCAUUUAAGAAUAAUCCUUUUUCAGUUAAUGUCUCUUCAUAAGGUCCCAACUCUUCCAAAUGGGUCUUGAAAACAUACAUGAUUCUGAAUGUGAGAAGUGGAACCAACCUAUGUCCGAUGGGGAAGAUGACCCGAAGUCUCAUGUCUCUUUGCUGUGUGUUAAGUAGUUUCUUAAAUUUUGGAUUGCAUGUGGGGUUCUGUGAUUGGGUGUAGGUGUAGUGAAGUAUCUGGCAAUAGUCAAACGUUUGUGAGUAUAUGACCAU
rnacentral:lncRNA from 1 species